UUGUUAUAAUAGGUGGUUUCUGCCCAGUGAGAUAUUUAACGGCCGCGGUACUCUGACCGUGCAAAGGUAGCAUAAUCACUUGCCUUUUAAUUGGGGGCUGGUAUGAAUGGAAAAACAAGUGGACUGCUGUCUCCUUAUUUGAAAUUGGAAUUUUCUUUUUGUGUGAAGAAGCACAGAGUCUAUAGAGGGACAAGAAGACCCUGUCGAGCUUUACUAGUGUUCAUUUUUCUUUUUACAUAUAUGUAGGAAGUCAGAUUAUUAUUAGUUUGGUUGGGGUGACCAAAAAAGAUAAAAUCUUUUUUUAAAAAAAGAUAGCUGUAUCUAACAUCGAUCCAGAAAAAUUAUCAAAAGAAUAAGUUACCGCAGGGAUAACAGCGUAAUUUUUUUUGAGAGCUCUAAUCGAAAAAAAAGUUUGCGACCUCGAUGUUGACUUAUUAUUACCUAAGAGGUGUAGCCGCUUAAAAGGUUGGUCUGUUCGACCAUU
rnacentral:rRNA from 1 species